rnacentral:rRNA from 1 species
GCUUAACGUUGUCCUGCUAGAGAAACUAUUAGACUAGAGUGAGAUAGAGGCAAGUGGAAUUCCAUGUGUAGCGGUAAAAUGCGUAAAUAUAUGGAGGAACACCAGAGGCGUAGGCGGUUUGCUGGGUCUUUACUGACGCUGAGGCACGAAAGCGUGGGGAGCAAACAGGAUUAGAUACCCUGGUAGUCCACGCCGUAAACGAUGAGUACUAAGUGUCGGGAUUACUCGGUACUGAAGUUAACACAUUAAGUACUCCGCCUGAGUAGUACGUACGCAAGUAUGAAACUUAAAGGAAUUGACGGGACUCCGCACAAGCGGUGGAUCAUGUUGUUUAAUUCGAAGAUACACGAAAAACCUUACCAGGUCUUGACAUACUCUGCAAAGCUAUAGCAAUUUAGUGGAGGUUAUCAGGGAUACAGGUGGUGCAUGGUUGUCGUCAGCUCGUGUCGUGAGAUGUUAGGUUAAGUCCUAAAACGAGCGCAACCCUUGUC